GAUGAAGAACGCAGCGAAAUGCGAUACGUAAUGUGAAUUGCAGAAUUCAGUGAAUCAUCGAAUCUUUGAACGCACAUUGCGCCCGCCAGUAUUCUGGCGGGCAUGCCUGUUCGAGCGUCAUUUCAACCCUCAAGACCCCUUCGGGGGACUUGGUGUUGGGGACCGGCAUAGGGGCCUUGCGCCCCUCGCCGCCCCCGAAAUGAAUUGGCGGCCUCGUCGCGGCCUCCCCUGCGUAGUAGCACAACCUCGCAACGGGAACGUGACGGCGGCCACUGCCGUAAAACAACCCAAUUUUAUUAGAGUUGACCUCGAAUCAGGUAGGAAUACCCGCUGAACUUAAGCAUAUCAAUAAGCGGAGGA
rnacentral:misc_RNA from 1 species